UACAGAGGGGGCAAGCGUUGUUCGGAAUUACUGGGCGUAAAGGGCGCGUAGGCGGCCUGUUAAGUCGAACGUGAAAUCCCCGGGCUCAACCCGGGAACUGCGUCCGAUACUGGUUGGCUUGAAUCCGGGAGAGGGAUGCGGAAUUCCAGGUGUAGCGGUGAAAUGCGUAGAUAUCUGGAGGAACACCCAUGGCGAAGGCAGCAAACUGGUCAUCAACUGACGCUGAGGCGCGAAAGCGUGGGUAGCAAACCGG
rnacentral:rRNA from 1 species